AGAUACACUAGUCUAGUAAGGAUAUCACACUAUAUCACCGAUACAGAAUUAAAGGUGGAUAUAAAACAAAAACAACUAAUAGAGCACUGAAUUUAGCAAAUCCAUUCAUCAAUCAUAAAAUCAUUUACCGUUCAGUUACCACAGUGAAAUUUAUGAAAAUAACCUAUGCAAACAAUAAUAUUAUACGGAUCAUAAUUUCAUGUAAGAUCAGCAACAUAGCACAUAUCAUAAAUCUAUACACAUCGUCAAAUAACCAAACAAUAACUGUCACAUUUUUACCAGUCUACUAGUAUCCAUGAGGGUUUAUAGGGAUGUUCCUGCUACACGUGACCCUUUUCCUGUAACAAUAUCAGUUACGGGUCGUCCCCAUACCCCAUCCGGUAUGAGCACCAAAUUAUUAAAUCUUAAUACCCCGUAUGGUAUGAGUACCAAAUUAUUAAACCUCAAUACCUCGUUCGAUAUGAGCACCAAAUUAUUCAGUCUCCACACCCCGUCCGGUAUGAGACAACGUUCAUGGUAGGGUUCUCUAUGUAGCCGGUCCGUCCACCAUCUCAUAGGAUAUCUAGUAAAGCUGUCGUUCUAUCUGUUUAUUUAAUCACACAACUUUUCUGUUUUCCUUUAAUCUCUAUUUCCAGAUUAAACAUAAUCACAUAAGUAAAUAAACAUGCAUCAGGUAAUACAAUCAUGUCUCAAAUCCUAAAUCAAACAGUUAUCAUGUAAGGUAGCAAUUCAUGCAUUCAAAUCAUAAAAUAAAUCAAUAAGGCACUAUCAUGCUUUUAGACUGUAAAAUAAAUCAACAGAGAACAAUUUUCGAUUCAGGCUCCAUCAGCAAUCCGUAAUUAAUUAUGCACAU
rnacentral:lncRNA from 1 species